rnacentral:piRNA from 1 species
GUGUGCACCCUGGAGGCCGCAGUGAGC